AACGAACGCUGGCGGCAUGCCUAACACAUGCAAGUCGAACGAGACCUUCCGGCCUAGUGGCGCACGGGUGCGUAACGCGUGGGAACCUGCCCUUAGGUUCGGUAUAACUCCCCGAAAGGGGUGCUAAUACCGGAUAAUGUCUUCGCACCAAAGAUUUAUCGCCUUUGGAUGGGCCCGCGUUGGAUUAGCUAGUUGGUAGGGUAAAAGCCUACCAAGGCGACGAUCCAUAGCUGGUCUGAGAGGAUGAUCAGCCACACUGGGACUGAGACACGGCCCAGACUGCUACGGGAGGCAGCAGUGGGGAAUAUUGGACAAUGAGCGAGAGCCUGAUCCAGCAAUGCCGCGUGAGUGAUGAAGGCCUUAGGGUUGUAAAGCUCUUUUACCCGGGAUGAUAAUGACAGUACCGGGAGAAUAAGCUCCGGCUAACUCCGUG
rnacentral:rRNA from 1 species